GGUCCCUUUAUUGCACUGAGAGCACAAUGCCUCAUUAUUCUAAGGACGAGGCUGGUGGGAAACAGCUGUUUUACUAAUUGAGUAAAUAAAAUCACGUCUCUCCCUCCCUCCUCCAGCAUGCAGUCAUCUGCCUGGGCUCUGUGCAUCGUCACCGUCCCCUCGGCUCCCUGCCCCUGAGCAGGAGCGGGCAGUGCUGCUCUGGAAGGCUGCCCUUGCUCUGCUCGCCGCGGUCCAAGCGGUUUGUUUGGUGACUCACACCCGGAGCCUUCUCUUUUCGCCCAGAACCCUGCUCUGUCCCGCUGUUCCAUUCGCUCAUGCCCCUGCCCUGCCAAAGUAACCACGGCAUGCAGGGGGAGAGAGGAGAGGAGCGGUGUUGCCAAUCCUUCGUUAAUUCCUAGAUGUGAAAUGAUGGGGAAAGAAAGGCGUGUGAGGGGCUAAUAAUAAUGAGCUGUGGUCUUAACGAUGGAGGUUUCCCUGGGUUUAUAAACGACUGCAUUUCCCUUCAGCAUGACAGCUGCAGCUUCACCUCUUCUCGUGUGAACCUGGAGUCAGGUCAGGCUAAAAUGCUGAAUCUUUUCUUUCUCCCCCUUCCCUUGGUUCUCUGGCCCCCUCCUUCCUUCCCCAUAUCAGCAGGC
rnacentral:lncRNA from 1 species